GUGCUUACUCCAGCAGCACAUACACUGAAAUUGGGACAAUACAGAGACCAGCAUGGCCAAGGCACAAGGAUGUCAUGCAAAUUCAUCAAGUGUUCCAUAUUUUC